CCAGUUGGUCAGCACAUGCCCGGAGCACACGUCCUGGUAAUCCGUCUGGCCCUGCGGCCUUGUGAAUGUUGACCUGUUUAAAGGUCUAACUCACAUCGGCUCACCCACACACUACUCUAUAAUGACAAAGGUCUAACUCACAUCGGCUCACCCACACACUACUCUAUAAUGACAAAGGUCUAACUCACAUCGGCUCACCCACACACUACUCUAUAAUGACAAAGGUCUAACUCACCGGCUCACCCACACACUACUCUAUAAUGACAAAGGUCUAACUCACCGGCUCACCCACACACUACUCUAUAAUGACAAAGGUCUAACUCAUCGGCUCACCCACACACUACUCUAUAAUGACAAAGGUCUAACUCAUCGGCUCACCCACACACUACUCUAUAAUGACAAAGGUCUAACUCAUCGGCUCACCCACACACUACUCUAUAAUGACAAAGGUCUAACUCACCGGCUCACCCACACACUACUCUAUAUUGACAAAGGUCUAACUCACCGGCUCACCCACACACUACUCUAUAAUGACAAAGGUCUAACUCACAUCGGCUCACCCACACACUACUCUAUAAUGACAAAGGUCUAACUCACAUCGGCUCACCCACACACUACUCUAUAAUGACAAAGGUCUAACUCACACCGGCUCACCCACACACUACUCUAUAAUGACAAAGGUCUAACUCACAUCGGCUCACCCACACACUACUCUAUAAUGACAAAGGUCUAACUCACCGGCUCACCCACACACUACUCUAUAAUGACAAAGGUCUAACUCACAUCGGCUCACCCACACACUACUCUAUAAUGACAAAGGUCUAACUCACAUCGGCUCACCCACACACUACUCUAUAAUGACAAAGGUCUAACUCACCGGCUCACCCACACACUACUCUAUAAUGACAAAGGUCUAACUCACAUCGGCUCACCCACACACUACUCUAUAAUGACAAAGGUCUAACUCACAUCGGCUCACCCACACACUACUCUAUAAUGACAAAGGUCUAACUCACAUCGGCUCACCCACACACUACUCUAUAAUGACAAAGGUCUAACUCACCGGCUCACCCACACACUACUCUAUAAUGACAAAGGUCUAACUCACAUCGGCUCACCCACACACUACUCUAUAAUGACAAAGGUCUAACUCACACCGGCUCACCCACACACUACUCUAUAAUGACAAAGGUCUAACUCACAUCGGCUCACCCACACACUACUCUAUAAUGACAAAGGUCUAACUCACCGGCUCACCCACACACUACUCUAUAAUGACAAAGGUCUAACUCACAUCGGCUCACCCACACACUACUCUAUAAUGACAAAGGUCUAACUCACCGGCUCACCCACACACUACUCUAUAAUGACAAAGGUCUAACUCACAUCGGCUCACCCACACACUACUCUAUAAUGACAAAGGUCUAACUCACAUCGGCUCACCCACACACUACUCUAUAAUGACAAAGGUCUAACUCACAUCGGCUCACCCACACACUACUCUAUAAUGACAAAGGUCUAACUCACCGGCUCACCCACACACUACUCUAUAAUGACAAAGGUCUAACUCACAUCGGCUCACCCACACACUACUCUAUAAUGACAAAGGUCUAACUCACAUCGGCUCACCCACACACUACUCUAUAAUGACAAAGGUCUAACUCACAUCGGCUCACCCACACACUACUCUAUAAUGACAAAGGUCUAACUCACAUCGGCUCACCCACACACUACUCUAUAAUGACAAAGGUCUAACUCACAUCGGCUCACCCACACACUACUCUAUAAUGACAAAGGUCUAACUCACACCGGCUCACCCACACACUACUCUAUAAUGACAAAGGUCUAACUCACCGGCUCACCCACACACUACUCUAUAAUGACAAAGGUCUAACUCACCGGCUCACCCACACACUACUCUAUUAUGACAAAGUGAAAACAUGUUUGUUGAAUUUUUUGCUAAUUUAGUGAAAAUUAAUUUACAUAAGUAUUCACACCCCUGAGUCGAUACAUGUUAGAAUCACCUUUUGAUUCUUUCUGGU